GACGAACGCUGGCGGCGUGCUUAACACAUGCAAGUCGAACGGAAAGGCCCUGCUUUUGUGGGGUGCUCGAGUGGCGAACGGGUGAGUAACACGUGAGUAACCUGCCCUUGACUUUGGGAUAACUUCAGGAAACUGGGGCUAAUACCGGAUAGGAGCUCCUGCUGCAUGGUGGGGGUUGGAAAGUUUCGGCGGUUGGGGAUGGACUCGCGGCUUAUCAGCUUGUUGGUGGGGUAGUGGCUUACCAAGGCUUUGACGGGUAGCCGGCCUGAGAGGGUGACCGGCCACAUUGGGACUGAGAUACGGCCCAGACUCCUACGGGAGGCAGCAGUGGGAAAUAUUGCACAAUGGGGGGAAGCCUGUUGCGGCAACGCCGGGUGCGGAAUGACGGCCUUCGGGUUGUAAACCGCUUUCGCCUGUGACGAAGCGGGAUUGACGGUAAUGGGUAAAGAAGCACCGGCUAACUACGUG
rnacentral:rRNA from 1 species